UGGAGCGUACCUGGUUCGUUGCAGCAGAGCUCACGCGACAGUGGCGCGGUGGAUGCUAGUAGAUAAACGACACGGAGAUACAGAGAUACAAACAGAACUGCAGAACAACGGUCGUUAAUUCAGUGAUUAAUUAGCGAAAGCAUAUGCACCUGAGGCAGAGAAGUGUUUGAGGAAAUGCGAGCCGGGAGGAACACAACAUUUGUGCCUCGUCUUGGUUGUUUUUUUUUGAGAACCUUUAGAAUUGGAUUUUGAUUCUCCCUGUUGAGAGGAGAUGGAGCCCCCAGUAAGAUCUUUCCUUAAACCGAGGAGUGGAGAUCCGACACGUGAAGAGGACACCACAUCUCUUCUUCAUCUUCCCCAGCUGAAUGUUCAUUGUGAGUGCAUCUCUCAGUUAGCAGCCAUCCCCCGCCCCCCCGCUGUCGUCUUCACUAUCUGGAUCCUCCGUCGAACUGGUUCUCAGCUCUCGACACGUCUCUCGCAUGUGCUCACCCACACACGUGUAGAGGGCGUUUUGACAUUUUAGUGACAGUGAGGGAGGCGCUGCAUCGUUAUUGUGUAGAGAGAAGUCCAGCAGAGUGAAAAUAUGGCUCCCACACACAGAGUGACUGUGGGAUACUGCAGCCGUGACCUUUCUGCUCCUUCGCCGCAGACAAAACCGGUGGUGGUAAAGAGUGUGGGGCAGUUAACGUGUUACUCUACCCUCUGUCCAAUAAUGACUAGUCUAAAACAUUACAACAUUCAUGUGGUGCACUGGCAGCCCCUUAGCCAGUGUUUCAGUCACUUCAACAUUGGCUUCACUUUUUAGAUUUUAGUAAUUGAUGUAUAUUUUUGACACUUUGGCAGAGAUACUGCAUAUGUCUAUCCUAUUCCCUUUAUUUGCCUUAGUGAGAUGGAAUGAUUAUGAUACUAACGUGUUCUCUAUGAUUUCAUAAUUAAAUGUUUUCGUUGGUAUAUUUUUGUGUAACUGCAUUUGUCUGCAUUGAGAUGCUAUUUUCCCUUUUGAAAGUGUACAUACAGCACUGUAUUUUUGUACUUGUAUUUUUUCUAAAGCCAUCAUUUCCUUGUCUUUGGGUAACAUCUUACAUACAUAUUUACCCCGGCAAUCUGUGUUUAAAUCAUAGCAAGAACAAUAAGGUUUGUGGUGGAGCUGCCAACAUAAGGAAAUCUUUACUCAGUCCACUGUUUUCCUAAAAUACGUGAUCAUUAUGAGUGGAAAACGUCAAACAAAACUCAGUAGUCCUUCUCUUGCCUCCACAGGCAAAUGUAUAAUUGGCAGCUGGAAGGAAGGAAGUGGAUUAAGUGUUUCCAAUAUGAUGACGUCAUGUAUACAAAGAAAGUGGCUUCCCAGCAGAUCGGUGUGGAACAAUGCACAAUGGGUGGACCAAAUCACGUGCCGGUGUCUUCUCGCUGCUGCGGGCUACUAAGAAAAUGCUGGACUAUGAGCUCAAUGCAGGUGAUGGAGUGAGACUGCAAUGCCAUUAAACUUCAGUGGAGAAGGUUACAGCCAUCAGUCAGGAGCUUUAAGCCCGGCUGGACUCAUGGAGGCUGACAGGUCGCUCUCUUUUCCCUCCCCUCUUCAUCCUGAGACUGCAUAAUGUGAAGGUGGGGACCACCUGGGCACGUAUGGUGACACCUGAGCCCCAUUACAUUUAUUUAUGAUGAUGUAAACUCUUUACAAGGGCCUUUCUGUAUGGAGUUUGCAUGCUCUUCCCGUGUGUGCGUGGGUUUUCUCCAGGUCGUCCUCCCACUGUCCAAAAACUAGGCAAAUUGGACAUACUAAAUUGACCAUAGGUCUGAGUGUAAGAGUGAAUGGUCUCUACAUGUGGCCCUGUGAUGGACUGGGUGUACCCCCCUUGACCCUCAUGUGGUGGCUAAAGCAGUAGGAAAUUGAUGGAAGGAUGGAUCUGAACUCUCUGCAUAGGACAAACUGCAGAACAUUGUACACCAACAUGAUGUGCUGUCAGAAAAAUGAUUAUAAAUCAGUAGGGAUAACAGCUGAGCAUUGGUACUGGCCACUUUUUUAUCUUGUUGACGUGAAGAUGACAUUGGCAGAUGUUGACACCCAUGUUUGUGCAGGAUUUCCAUGAUAUACAUGACAGCUGGUCGGCUGCUGCUUCAGAAUGUGAUCAUUCUUUAUGUAGGCAACCUCAACAGCAGAGGUUCACAGCUUCAUCUGAAGCACACUCGUCAUGGUCUUUACGUCCUAGUCCCUUGAUUUGAUCAACAUAAUUGGUCAAACUUGAAUACAGUUUUAGUUCACACAUAGCUUUUUAUCAUUGUGUAUGGACAAACCUGGGUCUAUUACAAUCAAUAGAGCUCAUUGAAGUUCACUGUUCUCAUCGGAAUUCCUCUGGUUUUGGAAUCAGACUGUGCUUCGACAUUUAGAUAAUUUGACCGUGUCACUGCAAGAUGGAAGGGUAAUGAAAGAGGAAGCUGAACCACACAGGCAUGAAGAGCAAACUGCUCCCUGGAUAAUGUCAUCUCUCCUGGCAGAGGAUCCCCACCAAUCCUCCCCACACAGGUAGACUAUUGAGUCACGGCUCAUUUCAAGUUAUAAUUUGUUGAUGCCCAGUCACUUGUGACUCAUUGGUAUUAGUUUAAAAGGGACUUAAAUGUGUGUGUUGGUUAAGAAGUGUGUGUUUAGGUUCAGGAGUGUGUCUGCACACCUCUUUCUGUGUCCCCAGGUAGACGGCUGCAUUUCUGUGUCUGCAUGAGAAAUGGAGAAAUUGGCGACGAGGUUUUGCAGAGGCGUUUGGGGAGAAUGCCUGUGUGUUUGAUUAUUGAGUGACAGGAAGCUCGGGAGAGAUGCGCAUUGCUUGUGCGGUUGCCGCCUCGGGGCUUUAAGGUCGACAGGAUUAGCAUUUAGAAACCUCCUGCUCCCCAGAUCUGAGAGAGGAGCGAGGCGGUGCAGUGGCAGCAACCUGGAUAAUUCAAAACUGGAUCUUCUUUCAACUUUCAUCUCCUCAGGAGCAGAAGUUUACCUGUCUUAUUACAACACAUCACACAGAGGAAGCAGGGUGCACGGCUUAGACUCAAAUGAACUAAUCCCAUUUAUUUUUUAGUUUAGCUUCCCAGGCUACAUUUUACUUCAUUUUCUCUGUUUUACAACUUUUAGAAAUGUUCAGCCUUGGACAUCUUGUUGUGUUUAAAAUGGAAAACUUAGAGUGUGAGAGAGAGAGGUAUGGGAGUCCUUCCCCAGAAAAAAAUUGUAAAUUCUCUAAAACAUAAUUUCCCUUAGAAUCAUUUGAUGAUGAAUUGAUUUGAAAGUAAAAUAUGAACUGUCUCAGUUUACUAAU